GCACCACCUUAUUUACAAGCACUUGGCAGCUCCGAAACAUUCUAAAAGAAGGUACAAUAAAACUCGCAAAUUGCAUUGCAGAGUCAGAUGCUGCACUAAGAGAUAAAGAUUAUAAGGGGCCGCCAGUUCUUCUGUAAGCCUCCUUUCUUCAUCUACAAGAGAGGUCAGAACAGGAAGCCUGCCAGAUGGCUACAUGGAUCCAAGCAGGUAGAGUUACAGACAGCGAGCGAGAGAGAGACAGAGAGAAAGGUCUUCCUUCUGUUGGUUCACCCCCCAAAUGACCACCACGGCCGGCGCUACGCUGGUCCGAAGCCAGGAGCUGGGUGCUUCCUCCUGGUCUCCCAUGCGGGUACAGGGGCCCAAGCACCUGGGCCAUCCUCCACUGUACUCCUGGGCCACAGCAGAGAGCUGGACUGGAAGAGGAGCAACCGGGACUAGAACCCAGUGCCCACAUGGGAUGCCAGCACCGCAGGCGGAGAAUUAACCAAGUGAACCAUGGCGCCGGCCCCUAGAUUGAAAUCUUAAGAGAUAAGGAUUAAGCAUACCUGUGUUUCCAGCAUGUAGCAAGUGAAAUAUCACAGUGGUAUGAGGGGUUCUUCAAUAAGUUCAUGGAAAAUGCAUGUUAUGAAAAAACUAA